GCCAGGUGUGGUGGCGGGCACCUGUAAUCCCAGCUACUCAGGAGGCUGAGGCAGGAGAAUCACUUGAACCCAGGAGGUGGAGGUUGUGGUGAGCCGAUAUUGUGCCACUGCACUCCAGCCUGGGUGACAGAGUGAGACUCUGUUUCAC
rnacentral:SRP_RNA from 1 species